CUUCUCUCAAGCGUGAUCUACUUUGCUUCUCACCUUGAAAUGAGUCCUCCGAUAUUGCUGGUGAUCGCUGUCGGUCAGUUCCUGAAUGAACACCUUCUCCGGAAGACCUUUUGCUACGAAGAUUAUGCAAAUAGUAAGACCUCAAUGAACCUGUACUUAAACAAAAGCAUAUAAUCUCAUGAUUGCAACAAAAUAGUACCUCUUUGUUUCAAGGUCUUUCUUUCUCGAUUCAACGUUAUCAAGCCGACUCCGAGAGUCUAUAGACCGACUGCCUGCCAAUCGUUCAGGAGUAUGAACCUUCCUAGGAGAAACCCUUUGCCUACUGAUCAGCGGUGAAUGCCUUCGGAAGAAAAAAUAAACCAAACUAAAUUGAACAUUCAUCAUCUAAUAAGAGCCAACAGAAGCACUAAAAUUGUAAGAACAUUUAUUUAAUAUGGAAUUAACCUGCUUUCAGUGGUUUCAUUUCUUCUCCCCGUUCCUUGACCGUCCCGAUGACCUUUCAAUUCUCUUGGUUUCUGUUCAGGACUAAAGCUAUCAUCACGAGCAAUUCGGGCCUUCCUCUGCCUCGGGGAACUUCCAUAUGGACUUGACAACCUUCAGAAUAAACAAUGUGAAAUAAAUAAGUUGUAUAGGCAUGGACACUAAUUAAAAAAAAAAAA
rnacentral:lncRNA from 1 species